rnacentral:lncRNA from 1 species
AUGUCCAGGGUCAAAGGCCGGUGGUGCUGGGGAGAAGUUGGGGGAGGGGAGCAUGGCCUCACUGACUUGUCCUCCAUCCUGGCAGGAGGGGCCCUCCACGUUUGCCACCCUGCAGUACACCCCCAGAGAGUCCAGAGCAUCAGAUGUCACAGGGCGUUGUCCCCUUCUUGGCCUUUCCUUGGUGAUCUGGUGAUGCUGCAUCUGGUGAUGGGUGACUAUCAGGAGGCUGGUGAGGCAGCAAAGCCACCUGAGGGAGGGCACAGCUGUGAGAGGUUUAUGAGCUGGACUCAGCCUCUCCCUCCUGCGGGGCCCACAGUGGGACAGAGAAGUUGGGCCCCUCCAGUCAGGCAGCAGGGGAAGGAGAUCAACCUCGAGAAAAGGACUGAGGACUACAGAGCCAUGAGGGAGAGCCUGCUGCUCCGGAUGGCUGCAAACAAUUACAGGCUAGAGCCCGAGGAGUGA